ensembl:lincRNA
GGGGUUUGUUCUAAUGCUUUUUUGCUUUUUGGCUGAUGGGGUGCAAACUACUAUGUGCCUCUUCAAAAUAAUAGCCCCUGGUGUCUACUGGUGGUAUCAUGAAAUAGAAAUUGUGAAGGCACUGUAUCUUUUAAAAAAAAUCCCCUUUUGAAGAACUUCCUUAAAAACAGCUAUUUAAUGCAACUCUGCCAGUGUGUUCUUGAUGGUUGUGUCUUAACAAUUCUAAUUUUAAAAAAUUAUUACUAUUUUUUUCGUCAGAGCCAUCACACUGGAAAAUAAUUUUUUAUUUUCACGAUAGCCUACUGUUGAAUUUACCAUUCUGAUAUUAAUGAAACAUCUCUAUAAACGGUUGAAGUGUCUUCCCGCAACAACCGCUAAGGAACAGAAUUGUCAAUUUAUUAAUGAAAUAUGACGUGUGUUGAACAAGACAAGCUGGGUCAAGCAUUUGAGGAUGCUUUUGAGGUUCUGAGGCAACAUUCAACUGGAGAUCUUCAGUACUCGCCAGAUUACAAAAAUUACCUGGCUUUAAUCAACCAUCGUCCUCAUGUCAAAGGAAAUUCCAGCUGCUAUGGAGUGUUGCCUACAGAGGAGCCUGUCUAUAAUUGGAGAACCGUAAUUGUAAGUAUCAGACCAUCCAUUAGUAACAGUCGAAUAUCCUAUUCUUGCCAGGCUUCCAUUUCACAUACACUGUCUGAAACCCAGCUUAAAGACAGCAAGACUAUGAAAAUGGUUUCUUCUUUCUUUCUUUUUUUUUUUUUUUUUUUUUUGAGAUGGAGUCUGGCUCUGUCACCCAGGCUGGGGUUCAGUGGCUCAUUUUCAGCUCACUGCAACCUCCGACUCCUGGGUUCAAGCGAUUCUCCUACCUCAGCCUCCCAAGUAGUUGGGGUUACAGGCAUGCACCACAACGCCCAGUUAACUUCUGUAUUUUUAGUGGAGACAGGAUUUCCACAUAUUGGUCAG